GAAAAAAACAAUAAAAUGGAUAAUCAGCUCACUAUAUUAGUUAAACAAAAAAGUAAUAACAAGCAAUAAAUUUUGUUAGAACUUAUUUAAACAUAGUUGAUGGUGGAGGAGUUUCAAUACUGUUCUUAUGUUAAAAGUUAACGUUACUCUACUUAAACUAGAAUUGCUAGAAGAGUCUUAUUAAAGAUGACGUGUGAUCUUGUUUAAUUUUCUUUGUGUAAGAAUUAAGGCCAAAUUAUAUUUAAAAUUGUACUACUUUAAACAAUCAAAAUAGACUCAAUGAAUAUUCCUGGUGCGUUGAUGAAUUUCAAUGGGGGACGCCUCUGAGUUUGUGUGAUUACACAAACUGUCUUUGUAAUUUUUUUUUUAAAGUCUGCUUGCAUAGUAAAUUUAAAAGAUUAAAUGGUUCAAUUUUGAAACAGAUAAAAAAAAUAGCCUUUAAAACUUUGAAAGUUCUAAAAAGUCAUUAAGUCGGAAGGACGGAUAGACAGACCACACACAUUUAAUAGCGGCUAUUCUGCUUCUCUGAGGACGCUAGUAGAAAUGUAUGUCAAAAUGCGUUGUUUAUUUUCCACUAUUGAAAUACUUAUUUUGGGAGCCUGGGUGGUGAAGUAGUACAUUAACAUAGUACUUGUUGGCUGCUAGUCUUGUGUACAUUUCACCAUAUAUUCUAUUUUUUACAUUGGAUCAUCUAAUGAUUUUAUAUAUGUAUCAUAAUACGCGUUAGUUUCUUUUCAUGGUCAAAGUAGAAAGCAUGUGCAUUUGUAAAAAAAAAGAUUUUGAUACAAAAGAAAAGGAAAUAGAAAGUUAGCUAGAUGACUAAUUGUUAAGUGAGCUACUUGAGUUUUGCUAAAUCCUACACGAUUGGUCAUAUCCUUUAGAUGUAGUGUUUUUCUUUUUAUUCAGUUUAUCAAAGUCAAACUUAAACAAUUAUUUCAAAUUCGUGGGUGUGGUUUGUGAUUGAGAAAGAAAUAGCUUUUUGAACUGUACAUUAUGGAUUUCAUUGAAUCUUAGUAUUUCAAAUUUAGGAUUUUCAAGACGUUCUUAGUUAGUAGUUUUCUUGGCCACAUGAUACCAAUUUUAAUCGCAAAGGCCACUAACAAGAUUCAUACAGGCAUCUCGAUUCUGGGCGAGUCUCUCCAUCUGUCCCAGGUCUUGCCCAUCUGCUUGGCAUCUGCUUUCCAGGACCGUCCCAUAUAUAAUUUAGUUAUACAAAAAUGUUAACCGACUUGAGUCAGAACUGCAUUGUACCUUGACUAGAAACAAAAAACAUGAAACACGCAGGGAUGCUGAUAUCAAAAGCGACUCUAACGAUUUUUCUAGAAAUUCAACAGUUGAUGUAAAAGAAUUUAUAACACAAUGGCCAUACGGGGAAAAACUCUAGUUGACCGUUAAAAUCUUUCAAGAUAAAAAGUGUGUACACAAGAAUCUCAAGAAAUGCAGAAGCUCUAUUAUUUUUCAAUAUUUGUUUUGUUGACAUUUGUUUCGUUUUAUGAUGGUAGGGUUUUAAUUUUUCCCUAAAUGUUCUACUAUUUGCAUUAUUCUAAUAUUUUAGGCUCAUUUUCGCAUAUAAAGAACCAUUUUUGAUUAUUUAUAAAUAUAGGCACGGUUUUGAAUUCUGUUUUGAUUCCCAAUUCAUCGAUUUUUAGACGAUUCUUUUAUAAAAGGAGCGAUUCUCUAGUAGUUAGCUUUUACUUUCUAUGUCUUAUUCUUCCUAUGCAUUACCCAAUGACAUAAAUAAAUAUAGACUGGCCGAUUAAAGAGUUUAAUGAAACGAAAAUGUGUGACUUGCAAUGGGCAAUGUUGCACUAGUCCGUUUCGUUACUUUGUUUAAAAAGGAUUCAAACAAUUGGGACGGAAGUGCCUUUUUUCCUUAUAUAUCUUUGUAUUUUUUAGUUCUCUUUUUAAAUUAAACUGACAUUAUUAUGUUAUAAUUUUAA
rnacentral:sRNA from 1 species